rnacentral:misc_RNA from 1 species
AAUAAAAUUCUAAUCCAGUAACAACCACUCCAACUUCAGAAAUACCAUGAAAAACAAAUUCUGGGCAGCUAACAAGCAGUCCAUAAAAGAACUGCAGACCAUGAAUUCCUCCAUUCUCUUAUCCCCUCAUUAGUCAGGGUACCUGGAUGAGCCUAUAAAUAAUUAAUAAAUAAAUAAAUAGGCAGAAACUUCAAAUCUAAAAUGGCAUCACUGACACAACAUAUCUCAUUGUUAUCGUCAACAAGAAAACAUGCGCACACAACAAUAUUUUAGAAAUCCUGAAACCAAA